rnacentral:rRNA from 1 species
UACGAAGGGGGCUAGCGUUGCUCGGAAUCACUGGGCGUAAAGCGCACGUAGGCGGCUUUUUAAGUCAGGGGUGAAAUCCUGGAGCUCAACUCCAGAACUGCCUUUGAUACUGGGAAGCUUGAGUCCGGAAGAGGUGAGUGGAACUCCGAGUGUAGAGGUGAAAUUCGUAGAUAUUCGCAAGAACACCAGUGGCGAAGGCGGCUCACUGGCCCGGUACUGACGCUGAGGUGCGAAAGCGUGGGGAGCAAACAGGG